UGAACGCUAGCGGCAGGCCUAAUACAUGCAAGUCGAGGGGUAAGGCUCAUUUCGGUGAGUACACGACCGGCGCACGGGUGCGUAACGCGUAUGCAACCUACCUUUAACAGAGGGAUAGCCCGAAGAAAUUCGGAUUAACACCUCAUAACACUGUGAAUCGGCAUCGAUUUACAGUUAAAACUCCGGUGGUUAAAGAUGGGCAUGCGUGACAUUAGCUAGUUGGUAAGGUAACGGCUUACCAAGGCUACGAUGUCUAGGGGUUCUGAGAGGAUGAUCCCCCACACUGGUACUGAGACACGGACCAGACUCCUACGGGAGGCAGCAGUAAGGAAUAUUGGUCAAUGGGCGCAAGCCUGAACCAGCCAUGCCGCGUGCAGGAAGACGGCCCUAUGGGUUGUAAACUGCUUUUAUAUAGGAAUAAACCUCUUCUCGUGAGAAGGGCUGAAGGUACUAUACGAAUAAGGACCGGCUAACUCC
rnacentral:rRNA from 1 species